rnacentral:ncRNA from 1 species
UGAAAAGCAGAGAAAGACUUCAGUAGAAGGCGGAAUCACGUUGUGCAGAGAGCCGAUGGGUGGUGUGAAUCGGUAGCGUCCCUCCUUUGAAUUACCGUCUGGAGCUGUCUGGAUGAAUGGAAGGCUUUUGCAGGUUUGCGAAGCUCAUCAUAGUAAUCCGGUACCGGGUGUAGACCCGUUAUAGGAAUGAAGUGAAAGAAACGUUUGCUUUUGCAUACGUUUCUUUAAUUAGGGUGGUAACGCGAGCAGCUCCUUCUCGUCCCUUGG